UACGGAGGAUCCAAGCGUUAUCCGGAAUUAUUGGGUUUAAAGGGUCCGCAGGCUGUUUGUUAAGUCAGAGGUGAAAUCUUGCAGCUCAACUGUAAAAUUGCCUUUGAUACUGGUAGACUUGAGUCAUUGUGAAGUGGUUAGAAUGUGUAGUGUAGCGGUGAAAUGCAUAGAUAUUACACAGAAUACCAAUUGCGAAGGCAGAUCACUAACAAUGUACUGACGCUCAUGGACGAAAGCGUGGGGAGCGAACAGG
rnacentral:rRNA from 1 species